rnacentral:rRNA from 1 species
CAGUAGCCACGGGAAUACGGAGGGUGCAAGCGUUAAUCGGAAUUACUGGGCGUAAAGCGUGCGUAGGCGGUUCGUUAAGUCUGUUGUGAAAGCCCCGGGCUCAACCUGGGAAUGGCAAUGGAUACUGGCGAGCUAGAGUGUGUCAGAGGAUGGUGGAAUUCCCGGUGUAGCGGUGAAAUGCGUAGAGAUCGGGAGGAACACCAGUGGCGAAGGCGGCCAUCUGGGACAACACUGACGCUGAGGCACGAAAGCGUGGGGAGCAAACAGGAUUAGAUACCCGCGUAGUCCCUGUCUCUUAUAC